GAUGUGUUAGACCAAAUGGGGACG
rnacentral:piRNA from 1 species